GGCCGCCUGGGAGGUUUGAAGAGACGUUGUCGGAGGUCAAAAGUCAGUUGGAUCCCCGGAGGGUCACUCCCGUCAUGAACUUCGGCUGGGGGGUAUUUUAUACCCAACACCAGUCCCCCUACUUUCGAGUUCAAAUUUCGAAUGAAGAAAGUACAGAGAAAUUUUCGCAGCCAAAGUUGUCUCCUUGAAUCCUGUGCAUGAUCGCCCCC
rnacentral:lncRNA from 1 species